CAGCCUGCCCAGUGAUAAAAUUUAACGGCCGCGGUACCCUAACCGUGCAAAGGUAGCAUAAUCACUUGUUCUUUAAAUGAGGACUAGUAUCAACGGCAUCACGAGGGUUAAACUGUCUCCUUUUUCAUAUCAGUGAAACUAAUCUCCCCGUGAAGAAGCGGGGAUAAUUUUAUAAGACGAGAAGACCCCAUGGAGCUUUAAACCCAACUACACCCCUCUUAGCUUUACUUUUUAACCUUUAGGGCACUGUAUGUUAUGGUUUUAGGUUGGGGUGACCACGGAGCAUAAAAUAGCCUCCACAAUGAAUAGACCUCCUCUUUAUCCAAGACUGACACUUCUAAGAAUUAGUAUUCUAACAUAAAAUGAUCCGAUAUUCGAUCAACGAACCAAGUUACCCUGGGGAUAACAGCGCAAUCCACUUCAAGAGCUCCUAUCGACAAGCGGGUUUACGACCUCGAUGUUGGAUCAGGGUAUCCUAGUGGUGCAGCAGCUACUAAAGGUUCGUUUGUUCAACGAUUAAAACCCU
rnacentral:rRNA from 1 species